AAAAAAAACAACCUAUUGCAAGGAAUGUCAGUAACAAUAACAUUAUCAUGAAUCAGACUUGGAGACAUCUAAAUAUUAAGUCACCAAAUCUACCCAAAGAAUUUUUAUAUGGUGAGAUGAAUUUGAUGAAUCCAGCAAUAGAUUGCCUUGUGCCAAACCUUGGUAGUUGAUUUACUUAAUGAUUUAUAAAUUUCCUUGAUUAACAUAUGCUAAAUAACAGCUGAUUUCUUAACUAAAAUUUUUUAUUCCAUCCAAAAUAUUUGCCCAACUCAAGACAAUCAACCUACUAAUUGUUACCAAAAGCCAUCCAAUGUGCUAAACUUUUAGCCACAUGCAAUGACUUUCCACUGGGAACAGUAGUCACAAAAAACUGUCUGCCAGUUUUACCUACUCAAAUAUAUUUCUGGACAACUUCCACAAGAAAAUGAGACAAAUUUGCUUUUAAUCUUUUGGUGAGAAAAGGAUCUCUCUUCAAUCCAACCUUUUACCACAAGAGAUUCCAAUGAAUGAAUUAAUCUGUCUUAGCAAUGAGUUGUGUUACUCGUGGAACUCACCAUCUUUGAGAACAUCAACUUCCUUUGAAUGAUGACCCCCAUGUCGACAACAAAAUAAGAUGAUUUAAAAAUUCCCUUUGACUCUAACUGCUGAUAAGGGAUUUGAGUACCUAAGUACUCAAGCAUUACUAGAAGAAAUUAAGAAAUAAUUGACACUACAUAUUUGGAAUUGUGCACUUCAAUUUGAAAGGCAAACGUUUGUCAUCUUCCUUCUUCUGCGACUCUAAGUCUCUAAGUCAUAAUUAAAAAUCUCCCAAUAUGCUUAUUCUGCAAUGACCUCAUUCAAUUAUACACAAAAAGCAAUAUUCUAAAUAGCUGUAUUGUGACUUACGAGCAUGAUACUGACAAUAAAAGAUAGACAAACAAAAAGGAAAAUGACAUAUAAACACAUGAUGAUGCUAAGGUAUUCAUGCACACUCAAAAUCUGUCUGGAAAAAGAAAACAAAUUACAAUUAGAACAUUGUUCCCUUGAAUGGUUUUGAUUUUGUUGUGUAGACAAACC
rnacentral:misc_RNA from 1 species